rnacentral:rRNA from 1 species
UACGAGGGAUCCUAGCGUUGUUCGGAAUCAUUGGGCGUAAAGGGUGUGUAGGCGGCCUUACAAGUCAGUUGUGAAAUCCCCGGGCUCAACCCGGGAAGUGCUUCUGAUACUGUUUGGCUUGAGUACUGGAGAGGUGAGUGGAAUUCCAGGUGUAGUGGUGAAAUACGUAGAUAUCUGGAGGAACGCCGGCGGCGAAGGCGGCUCACUGGCCAUGUACUGACGCUGAAACACGAAAGCGUGGGGAUCAAACAGG